AUGGUUAGGAGUGUACCAAUUGGUGAGAAGCUCUUCAUAGGAGGAGACCUCAAUGGCCGCGUGGGUACAUCUAACACAGGUUUUGAAGGGGCGCAUGGGGGCUUUGGCUAUGGCAUCAGGAAUCAAGAAGGAGAAUAUGUCUUAAGCUUUGCUCUAGCCUACAACAUGAUUGUAGCUAACACGCUCUUUAGAAAGAGAGAAUCACAUCUGGUGACUCUUUGUAAUGGCCAACACUCUAGCCAGAUUGAUUUCAUCCUCUCGCGAAGAGAAGAUAGGCGUGCGUGCCUAGACUGUAAGGUGAUACCUGGAGAGAGUGUUGUACCCCAACAUAAGCUGGUGGUUGCUGACUUACGCUUUCGGAUUCGUGUCCAGCGGGAUAAGCGUGCCAAAGUCGCUAGAAUGAAGUGGUGGAAGCUCAAGGGGGAGGUAGCUCAAGCGUUCAAGGAGAGGGUCAUUAAGGAGGGCCCUUGGGAGGAAGGAGGGGAUGCGGACAAUGUGUGGAUGAAGAUGGCGACUUGCAUUCGUAAGGUGGCCUCGGAGGAGUUUGGAGUGUCCAGGGGAAGGAGAAGCGAAGAUAAGGAUACCUGGUGGUGGAAUGAUGAUGUCCAGAAGGCGAUUAAAGAGAAGAAAGAUUGCUUCAGACGCCUAUACCUGGAUAGAAGUGCAGACAACAUAGAGAAGUACAAGAUGGUGAAGAAGGCUGCAAAGCGAGCUGUUGGUGAAGCAAGGGGUCGGGCAUAUGAGGACCUCUACCAACGGUUAGGCACGAAUGAAGGCGAAAGGGACAUCUAUAAGAUGGCCAAGAUCCGAGAGAGGAAGACGAGGGAUAUUGGCCAAGUCAAAUGCAUCAAGGACGGAGCAGGCCAACUCUUGGUGAAGGACGAGGAGAUUAAGCAUAGAUGGCGGGAGUACUUCGACAAGCUGUUCAAUGGGGAGAAUGAGAGUUCUACCAUUGAACUGGACGACUCCUUUGAUGAGACCAGCAUGCGUUUUGUGCGGCGAAUCCAGGAGUCUGAGGUCAAGGAGGCUUUAAAAAGGAUGAAAGGAGGCAAGGCGAUGGGCCCUGAUUGUAUCCCCAUUGAGGUGUGGAAAGGUCUCGGGGACCUAGCGAUAGUAUGGCUAACCAAGCUUUUCAACCUCAUUUUUCAGGCAAACAAGAUGCCAGAAGAAUGGAGACGGAGUAUAUUAGUACCAAUCUUCAAGAACAAGGGGGAUGUUCAGAGUUGUACUAAUUACCGUGGAAUUAAGCUGAUGAGCCAUACAAUGAAGCUAUGGGAGAGAGUCAUUGAGCACCGCUUAAGAAGAAUGACAAGUGUGACCAAAAAUUAG
rnacentral:rRNA from 1 species